rnacentral:rRNA from 1 species
UACGUAGGGAGCAAGCGUUGUCCGGAAUCAUUGGGCGUAAAGCGCGCGUAGGUGGCUUCGUAAGUCCGAUGUGAAAGUCAAAGGCUCAACCUUUAAAAGCCGAUGGAUACUGUGAAGCUAGAGUACGGAAGAGGCGAGUGGAAUUCCUGGUGUAGCGGUGGAAUGCGCAGAUAUCAGGAGGAACACCAAUAGCGAAGGCAGCUCGCUGGGACGUUACUGACACUGAGGCGCGAAAGCGUGGGGAGCGAACAGG